rnacentral:lncRNA from 1 species
UCUUUUAUUCUCAACUUUCUAUUUAAACUCUCUUACAUCCUGUACUUCUCAAUUUUCUAUGACAUUCAUUAUUCAAUUUAUAAUUUUCAUACCUUAAAUCCUAAAAUUUAAGUCAAGUCUCUUCCCCUUUCUCAUCUUUGCAUACGCAACACAAUCUUUUUAGCUCCCCUCUCUUCGCAAGUAAGUAAAAUCUCAGUUCAUCACAUCAUCUCAUGGUUUGCUUUCAUACUUUGCUUUCUCCAAAUUGUCCUUGCCUUUUCCAGUCAAUCUCAAUUUCUUUUUUUUUUAUUAUAGACUUGAUUUUCUUUACCUCAGUUUGUAAAUUUUAUCAAAUGUAAUGCAUAAUCAUGGGCGACCCAAUUAAGGCCUAGGAGGGGGUUCAGCCCCUUCUGGGCCAUUAAUUAUUGUUUUAAAUGUACUCCAAGCCCUUUCUAAAAGAAUUAAAUAAAAAACAUUUAGACACAUUUUUCAUAUAACAAAAAACUUAUAGUUCAAUGGUAAGAAUGUUAUUUAAUAGUUUUAAAGUUCAUAUUCGGAUCUCAAUAGCCACAUUAUUUUAUUUUUUUAAAAUAUUUUGCGAAAACUACUUAGACAAAUGAUACUUUCAUGCAUUUAAAAUAAAUUGUUUAGUACUAUUAUU